AUGACCCUCUCCGGCAGCGGCGAUGGCCAGAGCGGCUCCGUGAGGGCGCACUUCGUGCUGGUGCCGAUGAUGGCUCAGGGCCAUACCAUCCCCAUGACCGAUAUGGCACGCCUGCUGGCAGAGCAUGGCGCGCAGGUCAGCUUCAUCACCACGCCGGUCAACGCCGCUAGGUUGGAGGGCUUCGCCGCUGACGUGAAGGCGGCGGGCCUGGCGGUUCAGCUCGUGGAGCUCCACUUCCCGGCAGCGGAGUUCGGCCUACCGGACGGGUGUGAGAACCUCGACAUGAUCCAAUCAAAGAAUUUGUUCUUGAACUUCAUGAAGGCCUGUGCCGCGCUGCAGGAGCCGCUCAUGGCGUACCUCCUUGAGCAGCAGCGCUUGCCUCCUAGCUGCAUCAUAUCUGACAUGGUACACUGGUGGACCGGUGACAUCGCAAGGGAGCUCGGCAUCCCGAGGCUCACCUUUAGUGGCUUUUGUGGCUUCUCGUCCCUUGUCAGGUACAUCACUUAUCACAACAAUGUAUUUCAAAAUGUCAAAGACGAAAAUGAGCUCAUCACAAUCACAGGGUUCCCUACGCCACUAGAGCUGACAAAGGCUAAAUGCCCUGGAAAUUUUUGUAUUCCUGGUAUGGAGCAAAUCCGUAAGAAGUUCCUUGAAGAGGAGCUGAAAAGUGAUGGUGAGGUAAUUAACAGCUUCCAGGAGCUGGAGACAUUGUACAUUGAAUCCCUUGAGCAGACGACAAAGAAGAAGGUCUGGGCGGUCGGACCAAUGUGCCUCUGUCACCGAGACAACAACACUAUGGCCGCAAGAGGAAACAAGGCGUCAAUGGAUGAAGCACAGUGCUUGCAAUGGCUUGAUUCAAUGAAGCCAGGCUCAGUGGUCUUUGUCAGCUUUGGCAGCCUCGCUUGCACUACACCUCAACAGCUUGUAGAGCUGGGACUGGGACUUGAAACCUCCAGGAAACCGUUUAUUUGGGUGAUCAAAGCAGGAGCUAAGCUUCCAGAAGUCGAGGAAUGGCUCGCAGACGAGUUCGAGGAGCGUGUCAAAAAUAGAGGCAUGGUCAUAAGGGGUUGGGCACCACAGCUCAUGAUCCUGCAGCACCAAGCCAUUGGAGGAUUCGUGACGCACUGCGGGUGGAACUCAACAAUAGAGGGCAUCUGUGCAGGUGUGCCCAUGAUCACAUGGCCGCACUUUGGGGAGCAGUUUUUGAAUGAGGAGCUGCUGGUGGAUGUGCUGAAAAUCGGGAUGGAGGUUGGAGUGAAAGGAGUUACACAGUGGGGAAGUGAAAACCAGGAGGUUAUGGUUACAAGAGAUGAGGUGCAGAAAGCUGUGAACACCCUGAUGGAUGAGGGAGUGGCUGCAGAAGAGAUGAGGGUGAGAGCAAAAGACUGCGCCAUUAAGGCAAGGAGGGCUUUCGAUGAGGGAGGUUCUUCGUAUGACAACAUAAGGCUAUUAAUUCAAGAAAUGGAAAUCAAGACGAAUGCAUGUCGUUCAGUGGUUGAUACAGAUGGUAAUAAGCUCUCUUUUUUGGUGUAA
rnacentral:rRNA from 1 species